rnacentral:rRNA from 1 species
UGGGGGAUUUUGCACAAUGGGCGCAAGCCUGAUGCAGCGACGCCGCGUGAGGGAUGAAGGCCUUCGGGUUGUAAACCUCUUUCGCUGGGUUGAAAGGCCAUGCUUUGGGUGUGGUUGAUUUGAACUGGUAAAGAAGUACCGGCUAACUACGUGCCAGCAGCCGCGGUAAUACGUAGGGUACUAGCGUUGUCCGGAUUUAUUGGGCGUAAAGGGCUUGUAGGUGGUUUGUCGCGUCUGUCGUGAAAUCCUGUGGCUUAACCAUAGGCUUGCGGUGGGUACGGGCAGGCUUGAGUGCGGUAGGGGAGACUGGAAUUCCUGGUGUAGCGGUGGAAUGCGCAGAUAUCAGGAGGAACACCGGUGGCGAAGGCGGGUCUCUGGGCCGUUACUGACACUGAGGAGCGAAAGCGUGGGGAGCGAACAGG